rnacentral:rRNA from 1 species
UACGGAGGGGCUAGCGUUGUUCGGAAUUACUGGGCGUAAAGCGCACGUAGGCGGCUUUGUAAGUCAGAGGUGAAAGCCCGGGGCUCAACCCGGAUGUGCCUUUGAGACUGCAUCGCUUGAACGUCGGAGAGGUGAGUGGAAUUCCGAGUGUAGAGGUGAAAUUGUAGAUAUUCGGAAGAAACACCAGUGGCGAAGGCGGCUCACUGGACGAC